rnacentral:rRNA from 1 species
UGGGGAAUCUUCCGCAAUGGGCGAAAGCCUGACGGAGCAACGCCGCGUGGGUGAAGAAGGCCUUCGGGUUGUAAAGCCCUGUCUUAUGGGAAGAAGAAAGUGACGGUACCAUAGGAGGAAGCCACGGCUAACUACGUGCCAGCAGCCGCGGUAAUACGUAGGUGGCGAGCGUUGUCCGGAAUUACUGGGCGUAAAGGGCGCGCAGGCGGGCAUUUAAGUCAGAUGUGUAAUCUACAGGCUCAACCUGUAGCUUGGAUCUGAUACUGGGUGUCUUGAGUACAGGAGAGGGCAGUGGAAUUCCUAGUGUAGCGGUGAAAUGCGUAGAUAUUAGGAGGAACACCAGUGGCGAAGGCGGCUGCCUGGACUGUAACUGACGCUGAGGCGCGAAAGCGUGGGGAGCGAACAGGAUUAGAUACCCUGGUAUUCCACGCCGUAAACGAUGGGUACUAGGUGUAGGAGGUAUCGACCCCUUCUGUGCCGGAGUUAACACAUAGUACCCCGCCUGGGGACUA